UACGGAGGAUGCGAGCGUUAUCCGGAUUUAUUGGAUUUAAAGGGUGCGUAGGCGGCCUUGUAAGUCAGCGGUGAAAUUUUGCAGCUUAACUGUAAAGGUGCCGUUGAUACUGUGAGGCUAGGAUUUGGUUGCUGUGGGUGGAAUGUGUGGUGUAGCGGUGAAAUGCUUAGAGAUCCCACAGAAUAUCGAUUGCGAAGGCAGCUCACAAAGCCAAGAUUGACGCUGAGGCACGAAAGUGUGGGGAUCAAACAGGA
rnacentral:rRNA from 1 species